UACAGAGGUCUCAAGCGUUGUUCGGAUUCAUUGGGCGUAAAGGGUGCGUAGGUGGCGCUGUAAGUCGGGUGUGAAAUUUCGGAGCUUAACUCCGAAACUGCAUUCGAUACUGCGGUGCUUGAGGACUGGAGAGGAGACUGGAAUUCAUGGUGUAGCAGUGAAAUGCGUAGAGAUCGGGAGGAACACCAAAGGCGAAAGCACUCUGCUGGGCCGCGACUGACACUGAGAGACGAAAGCGAGGGGAGCAAAUGGG
rnacentral:rRNA from 1 species